GACUACUGGGGUAUCUAAUCCUGUUUGCUCCCCACGCUUUCGCGCCUCAGCGUCAGUUACUGUCCAGAUAGCCGCCUUCGCCACUGGUGUUCCUCCUAAUAUCUACGCAUUUUACCGCUACACUAGGAAUUCCACUAUCCUCUCCAGUACUCAAGACCGACAGUUUCGGAUGACCCGCCCGGGUUAAGCCCGGGAAUUAAACAUCCGACUUGUCAGCCCGCCUACACGCCCUUUACACCCAGUAAAUCCGGAUAACGCUUGCCACCUACGUAUUACCGCGGCUGCUGGCACGUAGUUAGCCGUGGCUUGUUCUUCAGGUACCGUCAUUUUUUUCGUCCCUGAUCAAAGAAGUUUACAACCCGAAAGCCUUCAUCCUUCACGCGGCGUUGCUGGGUCAGGCUUUCGCCCAUUGCCCAAUAUUCCCCACUGCAGCCGCCCGUAGG
rnacentral:rRNA from 1 species